AAUGCCACAUGCCAAAAUCCAUUUUGCCACAUACCAAAUAAAAAUGCAACAUGCCAAAAUCCACAUUUGAUCGAACCCCAGGGGUUCGGUGAGUAAGUCUAAGGGGUUCGGCAAAGAAAUGCAGAGCCCUGUUUUCGUACGCUGGUUAAAUCUAGGCACAGUGGCUUUUUAGACCAGGUUUUGGACUGGUUUGCUCCCAAUUUACAGGCUAUAUCCAUUUCUUUUAACCGCUAGUCCUUGAUCUGAUGGGAGAAGGACCUGGUUUGCUCAGUGGAAGGUAGACCCACACUUUGUUUGAGGCAAUACAACAAACCAAAGGGCAGCGCGGUCUCAAAUUUUGACCUGUUUAUAAAACAUGCUGUCAAAAUCAGAAGAAUUUUGAUUGGGAAUUUGCUAAAUAAUUAGUUUGCUAGCUUAGAUAUAUCAGUUUUGAAUUUGGGGGGGGAAAAUGCUGUAUUAUCCAAUUCCAAAGGGUUCGAUGAAUCCACAUGUGAAAUUUGUGGGGUUCGGUACCUUUAGCAAGGUUAAGAACCACUGCUCUAGAAUGAAGAGCCCUGCCAGAGUUAGAGAGGGUUAAAAUCUCAGAUAAAUAUGAAGGAACCUGGCCAAAUAUAGAAUGAAUAACAAACAGCAAGCAGCAGUGCAGUUGGAAGAGAAAAUGGAGAGAAGACUGUCUGAGCAGAGAGGAGAAGGCAGCACGGCGUCAGCAUCCUGCCGUAAGUCUUCUAAUACAGCCGCUGCUCUAGAUGGAGUGAUGCAUCGGCGGUCACAAGCUGGAGAGAUUGUCUUUCUAGCAGAAAAAGUAGCAGAAAAGUCAAAAAUGACGGGAAGAUGGUCCGAGAUUGCAGUAUCCAGUAUUUCCCUGAUGGAAACUGAAAGCCCAAGCGAAAUCACCAGAUCCAGAGUAUGAGUCCUUUUAAAGUCAUUCGCCAGCUGAUUAUCAGAGCAGCAGACAUGAAUGUUAAAAUCCCCGCAAAUCAAAACCCUGCCAAAUUUUGGAAUCAAAUCUGACAAAAACUCCAAAAACUCCUGGAUAAAAUCCUUGUUCAAACCAGGGGGGCGAUAAAUUGUGGCACAAAGCAACGGGGGAGUAAGCCUGAUAGAGAACAACUGCACUUCAAAGCUAGAAUAGUUCUUAGCAGUUAUGGUCUUACAUUUAAACUUGUCCUGGAAUACAGCAGCCAAGCCGCCACCACGGCCAGCCGCUCGCGGGGUGCUGAAAAAACAGCAGCCGGACGGGACGAUCUCCGAAAAGGCGCUGCACUCACCUGGUUUCAACCAGGUCUCCGUUAGGAAAAGGAAAUCCAGAUGAUGUGUCGAAAAGAAGUCGUUCAACAUAAGCGUCUUAUUCGUAAGGGACCUUGUGUUGAUCAGCGCCGAGCGAACCAAGGAAUGCCCAGCCGAGAUGGUGAGGCCAAGGUUCCCCGGCAAAGAGCCCCGCACCGGCCGACAACACGGAAGGAGCGUCCGUAGAUCAUUUCCCUUGAGGACGGUCGGUAGUUUCUCGUGAUCACCGCAACUGAAAAUUAGAACAUUAAGGGGGAUUCUAAAUCAGGCUGCUUAGGAUAGCUAUACAAGACUGUCAUCCAUUUAAUAUGGUACGCCCGCCGGUGUCGUGCCAAUGUAGUUACCCCAGUCAAAAGUUGUAUUUCCUGGGCGGAGCCAUACUGAGUAGUCCUACUUGGUGAGAAGUGAGAGAAUAUGCAUUAUCCACCGUCGAAUGUCAAAGCAUGGUAUAAGAGUCUCUGACUUGAAUAAUUCCACUGACAUCGCAACGUUGGAUGCUGGGUGAUUACAGGGAUCCCAGGAUCUCAUCCAAAUUCUGGGUUCAGAAUGAUGCAAGGACGUCUCAGGUUCCGACGUACAAAGGUUCAGAGACUUCGUGUGCAAGAGUCCAUGCCAUGUCUGGAUCCACCGGGAAUUGUCCGCACACUACAACUACAAACUGUUCGCCGUAGAUGAUAUUCUGUGCCAGCCCCCAACAGUCAAAGGCAUAGCUAUGGCAAGCAUAAAGUCAUAAAUUAAAGCUCUAUAUUGGGGGACUUGGAAGGAAGUACAAAAAUAAAUUAAGACCAUAUUUUUUUCACCCAUUUUGGAAAGAUAAACCCAUAUACAGUAUAAUAUAGACCAUUUUAAAUUAAGUUUAAAUAUUUCAUGCUUUUAUUAUUUAUUAUGCGCUAGGAAUCUAAUUCAUUUAGAUUUGGAGUGCUUUCGCUGCCAGCCUCUCCCAGUCAAAAUGGAUUGGGUGUCAAGCGCUGUCAAUGGCAGCCAAUGAGUUAAAUGUUGAUGUUUAUGGCUUGCAAAAAUAAGAAACCCUAAAAUUUAAUGUCGCAGAAUUAAGAAAAAAAAAAAUUCUGGGCCCUGCAACACAUUGUCUGUUAUUGCAGAAAUGUUGGUAUAGUUUUAGUUGCCACUUCUGGGAGAUGAUUGGAUGAAAUUUUACCCAUCAAAAUCAAAUUAUGAGGUGUGGCACGCCCUCUUUGCUUGUUGGCUCUUUGAAAAUGGCUUAACAAGUUCAACUUCAAAAGGGAUAAUGUAAAGUGCACAUUUCUAAUCAAAAACCUAACAUUAAAAAUAAAACAAUAAAAGCAUGAAAUAUCCCUGACCAAAAAAGUUAAAUUAUAUAAAUACGAACACUUUCACAGUCUAGGGCUAGGCACAUACAGAUGAGGCUAAUCAAUAACUAAAUUUGCCAUAUACGAUGUGUGCAUGUUUAGUUAUAUUUUAGGACUAGUUGGUUCAACUUAAAAUUACAUAUUUGGAGCUUUAUGUGAUGGUCCACGUGGUCAUCACCCCCAUGUCGGUGUCAGUCCCUGAAGUGCAGCUGCGACAGGCCUUGACUCCUGAAGAAAUUCAGCAGAUGUCAGAAUUUUCUAAUGUAUUGAAUGUCUACAGCGAGACUAUCCAUCCUGCGUCAAAUAUUUUUGGACUUGUUUUAAAUGACAGCAUAGAAUGUUGGUUGUGGUUGAUGUGACAGUACCUCAGUAAUGUGAAAAAAUAAUAAAGGCAAUUAUUUUUUUUCUGCAAAGUAAUAUUUUAUUGAUGACCAGUGUAAUACAAUACAAAUUAUAAACAGGCAAUUGAUGUACAAAAAAGGACUUCCAGCACAACUAACUCGUUCAUCAAAAAAAUUGUCCACUGGACACCAACAUGAGCCACUUUAGGUCAGUAACUUUUUCCCCUAAUACUGGCCAAUUGCUCACCAUCAGCAUUCCCUGAAAUGUAAAUUUAUUGAGUCUUCGGGGAGCUUUAGGGUAAAAAAAAAAUAAAAUAAAAUAAAAAAAAGCACGUAGAUAAGUGAGGACGAGAGAUGUCUUAUUGUUGAGGAACGACACCCCAACGUUCCUCAGAAGUAUCUAGAAGAAAAUAGAUGACAACGGCAAAAUGGUAUAAUAGAUUAACUACGAAAGCAUUAAACGGGACACCAGCCGGUGCAGACAGUCUCCCGGAGCACCACACGAACUUGAAUAUGUGAAUUUUGCUUCACUAAAUUGCGCUAACGCUAAACUAUUCCUUGUGAGUUUAAUGUUGUUAGCAGCUUUAUCCAUGUCCCGCCUUGCCUCCCCUUCCUGAGACCCAAUGCAAGUAAAAAGUUUUUUAAAAAACACACACCAAAUUACCAAUUUAAUACGUACCAUGUCCUCAUCCAACCGAUUGCCAGCAUCCCGUAGCAGCUUGGAUUCCGACCUUCUCGUCUCGUCCCAUUAUUUUACGAAGCAAGCAAGCAAGCAGGAAGGCAGACAUUACUUAGUCGAUCGAGAGGAUCACUGAACUGGCAUGUCGAUCGACCAAUGGGUGAAUAGUUCAACAGAUGUAGUACCGCCCCCUCAUUUGAAUAACAUUUCCACUUGAACGUUGGCACUGACAAUGAAAUAAGUAAAUAUAUGGCAAAGCGUUUUUAUUUAUUGAUUGACAUUUAUUUCAAUCAAUAUAUUUAUUUUUGUAUUUAUUCUUACAUUUUUAAUGUAAUUUCUUAUUUUUGUAUAUAUAUUCAUUUUUAUUUCAACUUUUAUUUAAUUAGCUACUUAUUUCCAAAUUUAUUUUUGUAUUUAUAUUUAAUUUUUCUAUCAUAUUUCUUAUUUUUGUAUUAUUUUCGGGUUUUUUUUGCUUUUUAUUGGUUGAUUUAUUUUUAUUUUGAAUUUUGGCAGCUUUGGUCCUCCAUACCCGAUUGAAAAGAUGGUCUCUUAAACUGAUGGUUUACAACUUUUAUUCCAUCCUUGAUGUAAUCACACUGUAAGAGCUGCUGUGCACACAAAUAAAACAACACAAUUAGAAAUUAACAAAAACUUUUCACCUUUUUCCUUUUAAAACUUAUUUAUAAAUCAAUGAAUUGCCUAUAUGAAUUGCCUUUACCUUAAUUUAUUACCUUAUCAUUGACAAUCUCUCCCUUGAGUGCAAUCACUGUAUAUACUGUGUAUAUUUAUGAGCUUUAUUUAUGACCUUUUAACCUUAUAUACUUUUCUAUACCAUAAAAUAAACCAUAACAUGAAAUAAACCUUUCAGUUAGCAUUAAGAACAAUACUGAUAGCACUUAUAUAUGGAGGACCAGGAGUGCAAAAAUUCAAUAAAUGAAUACACAAUUAAAUAAAUAAUUAAAAGUGUCAUUAAAAUGCUUUUAUUUCAAUAUUUAUUUCAAUUUUUAUUUAUUUAUUUCAAUUUUUAUGUAUUUAUUUCAACUUUUAUUUAUUUCAACUUUUAUUUAUUUAUUUCAAUUUUUAUUUAUUUAUUUCGAUUUUUAUUUAUUUAUUUCAAAUUUUAUUUAUUUAUUUCAUCAUUUAUUUAUUUAUUUCAACUUUUAUUUAUUUCACUUUUUAUUUAUUUCAUUCUUGCACUCUUGUUCCUCUGGUCUGGAGGUGUAACCAUGCAAUAAUUUUAUUUGUCACGUUUGCUCGUCAGUUUCUAACGUCUGAUUGGUUGCUCAGCAAAGCAAGUCUUAACUAGUCGAUCUCAGAUAAUAGAUUGACGCCUGAGACGGUUCUUGUCUCGUGACGUUUCUGGCGCAAUGCAUUGUGGGUUUUCGUGUAUUGCAGAACAACAGCAAUCCCGCGACGUGAUCCUUUGCUAGGCAUCCAUUCUGCGUGGUAAUCGUUGAAAAUGGUACACUCGUGUUGUGUGAAAGACUGCCAUUCUAGGUCCCAUGAUAGAAACGAAUGCAAAAAGGAUGGGAUAGGUUUUUUUUUUAGCAUUCCCGCCUGGAAGAGAAGAUAUGGAACUCAGAUGAGUUGACCAAGAGGCUUCGAAUGGUUGCAGCGGUGAGAAGAAAGGCCAUCACUUUUUAUUCAUCAACUGAAAACAUGUCGGUCUGUUCCCGACAUUUCCAUAAAGGAAAACCAGCAUAUGAAAUAAAUGAGGCAGACCCUGACUAGGCACCAUCCUUACACCUGGGACACACAUGUGUUCAGCCCACCAACGUGGACCGCUCUUCUAGGCGAAGUAGGCGUGAGAAAUUGAGGAUGGAGGAAGACGUUGGUGAGCUACAGGAGGAGCCGUCAGCGCCCUUUAGAUGCUCCUUCUGACCUUCAUGCGCCUGCGUUUGGACCUGCCUACACUACACAUUGCACACAUAUUCCAUGUUUCCCGUAAGACUGUGUAUUGAGUGUUCAGUGGCAUGGUGCCCUUUUUACAUGCUAACUUGAGACGAGCAAUUGUUUGGCCCAACAGAGAAACACUCUAUAAAACAAUGCUUCACGAGUUUGUUGAGUUCUUCAGACGCAGAGUUGCAGUGAUUAUUGAGUUUUUUGAAAUUUUUACAGAGAAACCAUCAAAUCUUAAGGCGCAUGCGCAAAUGUUUUCUAGGUCCAAGCAUAACUACACCAUGAAAUAUCUAACUGGAAUCACACGAAAGGGGGGAAUUUGUUUGAUGUCAAAAGGUUGGGGUGGUCGCACAAGUGACAAACAUAUCACCUUGAACAGUGCUUUUUUUAAUAACUUUUUGCCCGGGGACAUUGUCUUGACUGACAGAGGCUUUGAUAUUCAAGAACAUGUGGGUAUGUUAUGUGCAGAGGUCAAACUCCCCGCGUUCACAAAAGGUCGCUGUCAGUUAGGUGGUAGAGAUGUGGAGGAGACUAGGAAGAUAGCACAUUUGAGGAUCCAUGUUGAACGGGUAAUUGGUAAUCUUUGCCAGAAGUAUAAGAUCCAACAGUACCUAUACCUAUUAACUUGGUUCUGCCAUGUGACGGCGAAGAUUGCACAUUGUUGGAUAAGAUUGUUUAUGUAUGCGGUGCCCUUACAAACCUUUGCCCAACUGUUGUGUAGUUUGUACUGUUAUAACAUUUAUUAUGCUAACCGUUUCAGCCUUUCAAACUUAGCUGUUAUUGAUAUUUUGUAUUUUGU